UGGCGGCAGGCCUAACACAUGCAAGUCGAGCGGAAACGAGUUAUCUGAACCUUCGGGGAACGAUAACGGCGUCGAGCGGCGGACGGGUGAGUAAUGCCUAGGAAAUUGCCCUGAUGUGGGGGAUAACCAUUGGAAACGAUGGCUAAUACCGCAUGAUGCCUACGGGCCAAAGAGGGGGACCUUCGGGCCUCUCGCGUCAGGAUAUGCCUAGGUGGGAUUAGCUAGUUGGUGAGGUAAGGGCUCACCAAGGCGACGAUCCCUAGCUGGUCUGAGAGGAUGAUCAGCCACACUGGAACUGAGACACGGUCCAGACUCCUACGGGAGGCAGCAGUGGGGAAUAUUGCACAAUGGGCGCAAGCCUGAUGCAGCCAUGCCGCGUGUGUGAAGAAGGCCUUCGGGUUGUAAAGCACUUUCAGUCGUGAGGAAGGCGGCGUCGUUAAUAGCUGCAUUGUUUGACGUUAGCGACAGAAGAAGCACCGGCUAACUCC
rnacentral:rRNA from 1 species